rnacentral:rRNA from 1 species
CAUGUAGGCGGCAUGACAAGUCUGGUGUGAAAUAUCUCGGCUCAACCGAGAAAACGCACUGGAAACUAUCAAGCUUGAGUAUCGGAGGGGAAGCUAGAAUUCCUGGUGUAGGGGUGAAAUCUGUAGAUAUCAGGAAGAAUACCGGUGGCGAAGGCGAGCUUCUGGCCAGAUACUGACGCUGAGAUGCGAAAGCGUGGGGAGCGAACAGGAUUAGAUACCCUGGUAGUC